AAGUCGUAACAAGGUAACCGUAGGUGAACCUGCGGUUGGAUCAUUAUCAAAAGAAGUACUUUAGAGUACCCUUUAACCGCUGGGGCUGCCUAAACAGUAGUUCCAGUCAACCUUGUGUGAACCGUUUAUUGUCUCUGGCAGGACCGCUAGUUGGCAGCCUGUACCUAGUACUUGAUGCCAGCAGCACCUGCCAGUCUUUUUGUUAAACACCUUUUUUUAACCCCGUCUUAAUCAAAUAAAUAAAUUUGAAACAACUUUUGACAACGGAUCUCUUGGCUCUC
rnacentral:misc_RNA from 1 species